GCAGAUUCUGCCACAGUCGGGUCUCCAGUUGAGACCACGACCCAGCAGACACCUUGAUCACAGUCUUAUGAGAGACCGUGAGCCAGACGGUGCAGCGAAGCCACACUCGGAUUCCUAUCCACAAAAACAGAGGUAGUAAAUGUUGUGUUUGAACCAGCAAACUUUAAUUUAUUACACACUAACAACUAGUAACUUACUACAUAUAGCAGUUAAAAAGAAUGACGAAGAGCUACAGAUAUCCACUAGGAAAAGCUUAAGAACAACACCGAAUGAAAAGGUUAAGUUGUAAUAUGAUACCAUCUCCACAGAGUUUCUGAAUAUCCCAAACACACUACUGUUCAUGGAAAAAGUACUAGAAGGAGCAUUAAUACACAGAGGAGGUUCACAAACACUGUGAAUCCGCUCGUGCAACCCUAAGCUCCUGGUGGACACAAGCUAGAACGCUACAAUCUUUCCCUCCAAACGCCCUGGUGCCUACAUUUCUGUGUCUCACUUAGGGUCACCUGUCAGCUGCCACUGUGCAAGAUGCCGGACUCGGAACGGAGGCCUGAACGAGGGAAGCACGUGGGGGCCGCCCACCCCAGCAGCGCUCAGGAGACCGCCGGCAUUCUGGGGCCACAGCAGCCUUCACAGCACAGCACAGCCCUGCAGUGGAGUUUUAGGGAGACUUUCUGGAAAACUCGGGCAACGGGCUACCCCAAGAAACAACCCGAAGCACACAUGGUGCAGAGUCCCAAUUAUCACUGAGUAGGGAAAUAAAUUAAUCAGAGCCAUAACGAGAGAAACCGAGAGACGCCAUUAAGAGAACAUCUCCUGACACGACAGGCCCUGGACAAAGCGCCUGCUUCAACAGAGCCAUACUAACAGGCGCACAGUGCAGAACGAGCUUUUAAAACUGACAAGAGACAGAGCGCUGGCCAAAAUGACGAAACAAGAGAACUCUCCUCUAAAGAAAUUCCAGGAAGAAAUCACAGCUACAGAACUGUUCAAAACAGACAUAAGCAACUGAACAAGAAUUUAGAUCGAUGGUCAUAAAAUUAAUCGCUGGGCUUGAAAAAAGCAUGGAAGCCAUCAGAGAAGCUAUGGAUACACAGACUAGGGACCUUCAAAAUAGCUGUGAUGACUUUUUAAAAAAAGGCUA
rnacentral:lncRNA from 1 species